rnacentral:lncRNA from 10 species
AGAAGCGAGGCAGCCGUGAGGCGGAGGACAGGCUGGGGGAUCCCAAAGGGUGCGCUCCAGCCCCCAACCCAGGCACUGGGACUCUGGUGGCACCCUGGGUGGCAGGCAAGCCUUGAAAUCAAGUGCACGAGCCUUGGAAAGGAGGACCGGGAGAGUUAUGGCAUUUAUGAAUGAAGAAGAGAAAGAGAAUCACUCGGAUGGGAAAAGUUAACUGGAUUGUUCCCACCUGCAUGGAUCACCGGGAUGAAGCUGUGCCACCCUGUAGGAAUUAGAAGACCAUGUCCAGGAAUUGAGCACUGGGUGCAGGAUCCAGUCUUCUGAGGCCCUGAAACCACAUGUGGUCCUAAUAUGCUAUUUAGAAAAUACAAAGUGGAAAGAAGAAAAAUGAAAGUCACGCAUCGUCCUUCAACCCGGGGACAACUCCUGCUAACACUCGGAUGGAUGAAUUUCACAUAUACAUAUAAAUAUUCUCAUCUACAGUCAAAUUUAAUAAUGUGAAUGCCUUAAUAAACCACUAAUUCUUCAAUUUC